GCGGGAAUAGCUCAGCUGGUAGAGCGUCACCUUGCCAAGGUGAAAGUCGCGGGUUCGAGUCCCGUUUCCCGCUCCA
rnacentral:tRNA from 1 species